AAAUAUUGUGUGUCAGUUGAAGCACAGUCGUGUAUAAUUGUUGAAAGGGGACGUUACAUAUGUAACGUCCCCUUUCGUGUAUAAUUGUUGAAAGGGGACGUUACAUAUGUAACGUCCCCUUUCAACAAUUAUACACGACUGUGCUUCAACUGACACACAAUA